rnacentral:lncRNA from 1 species
AUCAUAUAUUCCAUUUUCGGAAUUAAGGAAAAUACAUCUAAUGAGUUUAAUCACCAUCAACAUAUUGAGUGUGACACAUCUUAGGCACCUAAAAUAAAAGUUGCACGUUUUUAAAGCCUGCCAAAAAUAAAUACAUUUUAUGAGAAUCAAUAGAAAAAUGUAAGCAAUUUCUUACAGAAAACUUUUGAAACCGAUUGAGCAGCUAUCAGCUGAAGGACUACGUUCAUUCGUACUUGAGAUUUUAGUGUGAUCAAUCAAACAGAUUGCUUCAGUUUCACCAUUGACAAUAAGGCAUAACGAUACUAAAUGAAGAGAGUAGCUCUCAUGAGAUAAGUUUAGUCACAUCUUCGGAUGGAAUCAGAUGACUUGAUGAUUGUGAUUGUGGUACAUUUUCUGGACCAUUGCCCGGAGCAUGGUUAGAGAAAACAAGCAAAAAGCCUGCUAAAAUAAUUCAUCUAAUCUUUCCUAAGAUCUGUGGGAGAUUUCUACAAAUGGUAAUUAAAUAAUUUUAUGGGUAGAACUAGAUCUAUUCUUAAUUUUCCUUAUUAAACACAAAAACUCGUCAUUUCGGCUAGCUAAAAUUCUAAAAUUAACAACUAACUAACAGACGUUAACUCUUUAAUUGUUGUUUUGUUUACCUUUCUUCAAUCGUCACCGAAAGUCGCAAGAGAUCUGUUUCUUUCUGUUCAUCUUCAUAGCCAUCCUUCACUUUCA